rnacentral:tRNA from 1 species
AAUGUGUUAGGAUAAUUUUAAGUCUAUGAGAUUCAUAUUUUCGGGGUUUUUCAUAUUU